rnacentral:lncRNA from 1 species
AAAUUUUGUACCUUCACUUAUGUAGCCAAGUUUAAGAAACAAAUUGUAUAAUAUUUUGUAACUUAAAAUCUAAAAUAAAAGGAAAUAUAAAAUUUUUAACCUGUGAAAAAAUAAAAAAAAAGAGAGAGAGACUAAUGUAAUACGGUAUCUUUCUUUUAAGUAAGAUAACAUAUCCGCUAUGAGCUCACGUCAUCCCAAAAUGAUUUAGGUCCUUAUGAUUGAGAUGGCAAUUUAUUCAUCUGUUUACUUAUGCUAGAUUUCCACCCUCCCUCCGCACAUUAAAUGGCCGCCGGCGAUUCUGAAACUCCGCUGCUGUUGGAGACGGUAGACGGUGUCGUCGACUUCAAGGGUCGCCCUGUCCUACGAUCUACCUCUGGUGGCUGGAAAGCUGCUGCCUUCAUUAUAAGUAAGUAAAUUUAUUUCAUUCGUCUCUAAUCUGAUAUACUACUACUGUACUGAGGAGUAUAUGG